rnacentral:lncRNA from 1 species
AAGAAUUAUUCAAUAACAAAUAUCUCCUUCCGUUGAGUUCUCUAAUUACUAUUCUUUUUUUUUCAAUUAAGAUUUUGGGAAGACUACUCUACCAAAGGUCAUUGUCAAUGCAUAUAAGAGAAAGAAGGGUCCAUGAAAUAUUCCAAGCCCUCAAUGUCACACUCACUAGGGGCUGAAGUUGGCAAGGUCUCCUAACCACUCCAAGUUUGUUCUGGAGUGUGAUGCUUCCCAAGUGGUCUCUUCCAUCUCUAGUCCACAACAGGACUCCUCGCCUUCGGUUUGUUUGAUUAAGGACGCUAAAUCUUGGGCGGCUAAAUCCAAUCCCUGCAACAAGUUUUAAUAAACCCAUUUUCGUUUCAACUCACAAAGAAAAAGAAGAAAAAUGUCACACUGAUUUUAUCUUAAAUAGUGAUAUAACUGCUUCCAGGGUAAAUGUUGUGUUCUUGUACCAAACUGGAUCAUUUUAAUACAAGGUUUUAUCACACCAAAAAUAUGAGGAGGGUGUCCAUCCUUUGUUAAACCACAAAGCUUACAUCGAUAUUAUCGUAAAUGUAUCAAUAUAAGGUUCGUACGUUUUGUUAUUGAGAUAUUAUUAUAAAUGAUAUCCACACUUUAUCGAUCACUCUGAACUAAAUAGAGAAAGAAUAUGUAUCCUCAUUAUAUCUUUCUUUGUACACACAAAGAUGUUAUGAACUCACCAUAGUGCAAACAUCUAGUGAAUGUAGAGUCUUUAUUUGUUAAUGUUUGCUGGAAUAGCAGAAAAUACAGAAUUAUAUAGGAGCAUCUUCAAUAAGUCCCCAUUUUAGAGACUCCACCACCACUUUUGAGGGCUCAGUUAAGAACUUUAGAAGAAUCUUAAUGUCUCUAAAGAAAUAUUACCUCCAACAAAAAAGUUCAUACAAUAUAAACCCUAAAUUUGAUGUUUAUAUAAUCUGCCAUGCCUCAUUCCUUAUUAAUAUGUAAUCACUAAUCAAUACCUUUGCUACAAUUAGACAAACAAGAAACGACAAAGAAAGUGUUUUGGUCGGUUAGAUUGCAUUUGAUAACAGAGACAUAGUUAAAAAGAUUCUCAUCGUAGAACUCUUCUGUCAUCUUACAUUUUAAUGUAAAUUUUGGUACUUUUAAUAAAAAAAAUUUAUAUCAAUAUUAUAAAAUAUUAUAAAAAAUGAAAUGAAAAAGAAUUCAUAGAAAAAGUACCAUUCUUGAGAGAAUGUCCUUCACAUUUCUCCUGAAAACAAAGGUCCAAAAGGUGAGAAUAUUCUAAUCCAAUGGACUGCAGUGAUCCAUAAGAAAAACGAAGGACCAAAAAUAAUAAACAAAUCUUUAGCCUUCCCCCAUUUAUUAUAUUGUUUGCCUGUUCUUUUUUUUUUUUCACAAUGAUCCGAAACAAGAUAACUGAUUCGACAAAAUUACCUAGUCACCGUGUCUAAAUUGUCCAUCAUCUAGAACCAAACACAGAUUUGAAAUGCUCUUCAAAAUGCCUUUGAUGUCAUUGAUGAUAACUGCCUCAUCUUUUGUGAAAAUUUUCUUUCACAAAAAAUAACACACGCUUUUAUAUUUAAACAUGUCUCUUGUUCCAAUUUCAAAUUUGAUGGUUAAAAAUAAAAAUGAAUAUAUAUAGAAGGAGAAAAAAGGGAUGUAGUGAUUUCCGUUUCCUUUUAUUUUUAUUUUUUUAGGUUGCGGUAUUGCACUUUUUUGUCCUUGUAAAUUGGUGCAAUGAAGAAUAUUUCAACGCAAAAGGAAAUAUGCAUUAUGUUGUUCAUGUUGUAUGGAUGAAAAAAAUUAAUAUGGGAAACCAAAUUCAUGGGGACAUAGAACAAACUAAACUUGUUAAAAGAAAGACAAUUAAGAUUGUUAUUCAUCAAGGCCCGUUUUAAGGGUGUAUAAGUGGUGCCAAAAGAGGACCCUCAAUUUACGAUUUUAUUUUAUUCAUAUAUGUGUGUGUGUGUAUAACUGUCAAUUUUGUUUCUGAAUUAUCAUCUUAGUGAAAAUUAGGUCCCUAAACUAUCUUUUUUUUUUUUUUUUUUUUUCAGAAAAAUCAAUCCUUGAAUUAUAAAAAUAUGCCAAUUACAUCUCUAACAUUAUAUUCGAAGCUACUAUAUUGAAUUUUUCGAUAAUUUAAGUCAUGUUACUUGCAUGUGAUACAUUUUGGAGGAUAGAUAGAUACUUUUUCAUAAAGAAAUAGUGUAUGAAGUUAACUUUGGAGGGUAAAUUGGUAGGUUUUCAUAAGAAAUAGUGUAAGUUAACUUCAAAGAGUAAAUUGGUCCUUAGAUUCGUAACCUAUAUGAAAUGUUAAAGGCUUAUAGGCGAGAAAAUGACGGUAUUACACUCUAAAGUGUGUCAAGUGACUUAAGUUGACAAAAAAUUGGAUAAAAUAGCUUUGAAUAUAAUAAUAGGGAUGAAAUUAGCAAUUUCUAAUGAAUUUAGGGACUUAUUUUAUAUAAAAAAAUAAUAAUUCAAUGACCUAAUUUUCACUGAGAUGAUAGUUGAGGAACUAAAUCGGCACUUCACCCUAUAUGUAAAUGUGCAACAAUUUACCAAAUUAAAGCUCCCAGUGCAAGUGGUCUUGUGCUUCUUUUUAUGUUUUAUUUUAAUUUUUUUAGUAAUUAAAAAUGGGUUAAUCUUAGUUUACUACCCUAAAGUUUUAUUAGUUUUGAACAUUUUAUAUAUCAAUUUUUUUCAUCUCAAUUUGGUACCUUAAGUCAUAAUUCUGGUACACUUUUGUACAUCUGAUAAAUUUUUGUCAGAACAUCCGUUAACUGAUGAUGUCGCACUCACAUGGAUCAUAAUUGGACGCCACGUGUCAAUCUAGCCC